CCUACGGGCGGCAGCAGUGAGGAAUAUUGGUCAAUGGACGGAAGUCUGAACCAGCCAUGCCGCGUGCGGGAAGACGGCCCUAUGGGUUGUAAACUGCUUUUGUCCAAGGGUAAACCUGAAUACGUGUAUUCAGCUGAGAGUACUGUACGAAUAAGCAUCGGCUAACUCCGUGCCAGCAGCCGCGGUAAUACGGAGGAUCCAAGCGUUAUCCGGAUUUAUUGGGUUUAAAGGGUGCGUAGGCGGACUUAUAAGUUAGCGGUGAAAUGCCCGGGCUUAACCCGGGAACUGCCGUUAAUACUGGUGGUCGUGAGAGUAGAUGGGGAAGGCGGAAUGUAUGGUGUAGCGGUGAAAUGCUUAGAGAUCAUGCAGAACACCGAUCGCGAAGGCAGGUGACCAAUCUAUAUCUGACGUUGAGGCACGAAAGCGUGGGGAGCAAACAGGAUUAGAUACCCUAGUAGUC
rnacentral:rRNA from 1 species